UACGAAGGCAGCAGUGGGGAAUAUUGCACAAUGGGCGAAAGCCUGAUGCAGCUAUGCCGCGUGUAUGAAGAAGGCCUUAGGGUUGUAAAGUACUUUCAUCGGGGAGGAAAAAACAAAACUAAUAAUUUUAUUUCUUGACGUUACCCGAAAAAGAAGCACCGGCUAACUCCGUGCCAGCAGCCGCGGUAAUACGGAGGGUGCUAGCGUUAAUCAGAAUUACUGGGCGUAAAGAGCACGUAGGUGGUUUUUUUAAGUCAGAUGUGAAAUCCCUGGGCUUAACCUAGGAACUGCAUUUUGAAACUGAAAUACUAGAGUAUCGUAGAGGGAGGUAGAAUUCUAGGUGUAGCGGUGAAAUGCGUAGAUAUCUGGAGGAAUACCUGUGGCGAAAGCGGCCUCCUAAACGAAUACUGACACUGAGGGUGCGAAAGCGUGGGGAGCAAACAGGGAUUAGAUACC
rnacentral:rRNA from 1 species